rnacentral:lncRNA from 1 species
CCACAUAUAAUUCUAGUAUCUUUCUUUUUUUCUUUUUUUUCUAGUUUUUAUACUAUGAGGAAGUAGCAAGUCCCGCUUUUCACCAAUUUAGAAAAUUUGGAAAAAAAAGAAGAGAAGAAGAUAUUUGGAACUCAUGUGGUCGAGACUUACGUAAGUCUCGCCAAAUGUGAUUCAAGCAUCUUUCUUCUCUUCUUUUUUUUAGUAUUUUUAAUAUUUUCGUCGUAAUAUCGUCGUUAGUUUACGACUCUUUUACGACGAUUCUGGCUUACGUGGAAUUAGCGUGCCCCGCUUUUUUAAUUU